UUGCCCUCAGGGCAAGGAAUUCACUUAUUCCUGCGAGAAACCUUCUCGGUUGUCAGAUUUGUUCUUCAGUGACUGAACCGUAAAACGGUCUCUGGCACGCGACGGAUUGCGUGUACGUACACGAAAGACUGACGAGUCUUCAAAGACGAAACCAUCCCCCCCUCCACAAACUCUCUGAAAACCUCUUGCGCUGCCUAAAGUUCGUGUUUCCGUGGCUUUUUUCCCCAAAGACUUUGCCAUCGCGCCUGUAGGAGUCAGUGCGUCCCUAUUUUCGUUCGCAGCGUACUUCAUUUCCGCCUCCAGACGGGGAAAAAACCCACAGUUGCUAAUAAUUCAGAAAGUAGCGAGAACCGUAACGGGCUCAGGAGUACGGAGGGACCAAAUGUUCGUCGUUUUCUCCCCGAAGCCAAGUAUCUUUUGGGAACAUGAGCUGUAUAGUCGGUGCAGGAUUCGGGAUAAUCUUGUUUUGAAGACAAACGAGGCGAAGAGUAAAGUUUAUGUAUGCAUGAAAGUUUUGUUUUGAUUUUUGGCCUUGGUUUUCAAGAGAGAGACUUGCGAAGUUAUUUGGAAACAAGACUCCGAGAAGGUCUGGCCGUGCGUGGUGCGGCUGCUCCUGCCUGUCUGCGUAUACAAAGCCGGCCGAGGGGGGGUCCGUGGCCCGUGACCCAGUCGCAGACGCCUGUCCCGGAUCAUCGCCGCCGCAGCUCUAAAAGAAAGAGUUCAAGAAGUUCAGGAUGGCGCGCGGGUGCCUCUGCUGCCUCAAGUACCUGAUGUUCCUCUUCAACCUGGUGUUCUGGGUGAGUGGCCG